CUCUGCCCGCUCUCUGUCUUACAGC
rnacentral:ncRNA from 2 species